CUGGAAUCUUUGGAAAAGCAAUUCUUGAGGUUAGGAGUGAUGACGAAGGUCCAAGCACAGAGGCACUUGGAUGGCCCUGCAAUCAUUGAGGUCCUUGGGCAAAGAAGUCGCAAUGAAGUUCUUGCUGAAAUUUAUAUGACUAUCUUCUUUUCAAGGUUGCUGGAACAUUUGGAAAAACAAUUCUUGAGCUUGGGGGUGAUGACGAAGGUCCAAG